rnacentral:rRNA from 1 species
AGUGGCGAACGGGUGAGUAUCACGUGAGAAACCAACCCCGGUCUUUGGGAUAACAGUUGGAAACGACUGCUAAUACCGAAUGCCGUCGUUGCCUCGCAUGGGGCGAUGACGAAAGGGCUACCGGAUCGGGACGGUCUCGCGGCCUGUCAGCUUGUUGGGGAGGUAACGGCUCACCAAGGCUUCGACGGGUAGCUGGUCUGAGAGGAUGAUCAGCCACACUGGGACUGAGACACGGCCCAGACUCCUACGGGAGGCAGCAGUGGGGAAUCUUGCGCAAUGGGCGAAAGCCUGACGCAGCAACGCCGCGUGCGGGAUGAAGGCCUUCGGGUUGUAAACCGCUUUUACCAGGAACGAAAAUGACGGUACCUGGAGAAUAAGGUGCGGCCAACUACGUGCCAGCAGCCGCGGUGACACGUAGGCACCAAGCGUUGUCCGGAUUUAUUGGGCGUAAAGAGCUCGUAGGCGGUUCAGUAAGUCGGGUGUGAAAACUCUGGGCUUAACCCAGAGACGCCACUCGAUACUACUGUGACUAGAGUUCGGUAGGGGAGCAGGGAAUUCCUGGUGUAGCGGUGAAAUGCGCAGAUAUCAGGAGGAACACCGAUGGCGAAGGCACUGCUCUGGGCCGAAACUGACGCUGAGGAGCGAAAGCGUGGGUAGCAAACAGGAUUAGAUACCCUGGUAGUCCACGCCGUAAACGGUG